rnacentral:RNase_P_RNA from 1 species
UGAGUAAGUGAACCGUCGCUGCUCAACCUAAGUUGAGUAGAGGAACUUCCCGACUCUCAGCCUCGGUAAGAGGCAAGAUCGCCUCACGAAACAGUAAGUGAGGGCAAAGCACUGUAAGGUGUCUUUGACUACAACCGCAACAGAAAGCAAGUCAGCCCUGAAUAGAUUGAGGGGUGAUGAGUGAAACGGUAGGGUAAGAGCCUACCAGCGGCCUUGGUAACAAGGUCGGCUAGGCGAGCGUGCGGUCGAGAGCAAGGUGAGUGGGCCAGGCUGUGGCUUGGUCUCACCGCAGCAACAACGGUGACCCAAAGUAAUACUUUGUAAGCCAAGCGUUGCCAGGUAUAAUACCUGAGACAGAUGACGGUUAAAACAGAAUCGGGGGUAUGACCCUUAUUCAAGAA